AGGCAAUUAAAAGGCAAGCAAGCCCUAAAUUAAACGGUACCACUUUCACGAAGCGGGUUAUUCCAACUUUUUGCCCGACUUUCCCUCGCAUAAAGAAACCAAAGUCUAGGGAUUUCAUCUCUCAAAAACGUGUUCUCUCUCACUUCUCUCAGAAGCGUGUUCUUCCUCAAGCGAAAAAUUAGAAGAGGAAGUGAAGGGGGCUAAACUUUACAGAAUGACUCGUAUCGAAUUGAGUUUAGUUUGGCGUGAAACACUUUCAUCUGAUGGGCAUAUCUCUGUGUAGAAAUCAGGACCUUACUGGAUUUUUAGUUUGGCUCUCGUCUGGCUUUGAGCUCUUUCUCUCCUUGCCACUCUCUUCAGGUCAUCAAUUCCCCAACUUUCGAGAGGUAUUUAAUCA